CGUUGCAUAUACAUGGCUGUCAUUGUCACCACAUAUAUCAUAAUAAUACCGCGCUAUUAUUGCGUCUUCACUUGUCAUUUCGAUAACAAUGAACAGACAGAAUGGAUAUCAUGACGUAUUGUUUAGUUAGAUCAUAGCUUACGCUCAGUGAAUCUGAAAAUUAAAACUAUAUGUUUUUACUAUUUCGAGGAAACAUAGUUAUUUAGAUUAUAGCUAAAAAUAAUCACGAGAUUUACUGUUUAAAUUUAUUACAAUAACAUUGCUUUACUUGCUACUCCGUCAAAUGAAACAACUUGUGUAUUCUUUCCCGGCAUAUUCGCGUCCACUGCUGAACAUGUACCUCUCGUGGAUUUCCAUGUUGUUCUAGAUGUGGCGGUUCUAUGCCAGGUCGGCCGUGCCGUCUUUUUCAUGUCGUUCGACCUGGCUCGUGGUUUUCCGUCAUUUCGGUUUCCCAGUCGAGAUCUCUAGAACAGCAUUCGCUGGCGCUUGUCUAUUUAGUGGGUUUGAACUUGCAGUUUUCCGUAUGAAAGAUUAAAAGGAAACCAUAAAUGAAGUUAUCGUCCUUGAGUUAUACCAAACUGGUGUAUUGCCAUCUGACUCUCGACAGACCAGAACAAAUUUUCAACUACACACUACUGCGUCUUACGUCUUCCUCGCGUUGUCCCGGCAUUUUGCCACGGCUCAUGGGAGCCUGGGGUCCGCUUGACAACUAAUCCCAAGAUUUGACGUAGGCACUAGUUUUUACGAAAGCGACUGCCAUCUGACCUUCCAACCCAGAGGGUAAACUAGGCCUUGUUGGGAUUAGUCCGGUUUCCUCACGAUGUUUUCCUUCACCGAAAAGCGACUGGUAAAUAUCAAAUGAUAUUUCGUACAUAAGUUCCGAAAAACUCAUUGGUACGAGCCGGGGUUUGAACCCGCGACCUCCGGAUUGCAAGUCGCACGCUCUUACCGCUAGGCCACCAGCGCUACUAACUACACACUACUGCAAGAUUGGAAAAAGACUUUUCAGAUGGGAAAAAGGAAUUCCCAAGUAGGUAAAAAGAGCAGAAUUCUCAUUUUUAGAGAGUUACUGUCAGGAAGCCAACAAGGAUCAAGACACACGCAUUUAUUCGCCGCCCUAACUCCAGGCCGAAAGUAAUUUCACGGUACGUUUCGCACACAUGUUUUACGGUAAGGGAAAACAGCCGACUUAUAUAAAGCUGUGUUUGCUUUCAGUUGCCUCGAAAUACAGUCGACUCUUUGUGAUAUGUUCCGUUGUUUACAUAUAUAACAGUGUACAGCGGGCGUAUAUGAUAACAAAAAAGGGAGGCUGUAGCGGAGCUGUAUGAAAAGUUAUGAGUAGGUAAAUAAGGAUCUAGAUACUUCAGGUAUAUACCUUUUUGGGAGCGCCUUAUAGACAUGCGGCGCGAGUCGAAGAAUGAGAUACGAUAACGAUAAGUUCUGGUUUAGAUCAGUUCUUAUUUAGAUAUCGUUUAUAUGUCGUAUAAUUGACAGAAGCAGCUCGAUUCGGGCAACCAAUGUCACUUUGACGUUAGAAAUAUCGUAGAUAGAUCUUAUUGGGAUCACAGCGGAAUGGAAAUAAACGUCAAUUUUGACAUGUCGUAUAGUUAUCGAUCUUUUAAAGAUCUUACCAAGAUCUUAAACGUGUCUUUAUCAUUCUUCGAAUCGGGCCGAUGGUUAUUGGUUAAAUUUUAAAGCUAGUGAAAUGGGAACAGUUUAAGCCAUGAUAUUAGCCAGUAAAACUAUCAGUUUAGCAUGCUAGAUUUAGUCUCCCGCCCUUUACGUAUUUUUUUAUAUCAUGCCGGUGGUAAUAAUUGCACGGCCUGACUGAUGGGAAGCGGUUAUCUUAACCCAUGGAACCCACAAGUAUCGGAAGGCUGCCGAUACUUUCAAAACCUCAUACAUUUUUGAAGAACCCUUUACUUAAGUCCAUCGAGACAACCGCGACAGGCAAACUUGUAAAAAACCCAUAAAGUUAUAGCCAAUAUUUUUUAUAGCAUUUGUAACUUUCGCAUUUUAAACUCACUUUUUUAUGGAGGAUAGGCAGACGGUUGACCGCGAUCUCACCUGAUGAUAAGUAAUGAUGCUGUCUACGGUGGAGCACGCUUACCUAUGAGAUACCUAUUUACCCUAGCCUUGAAGAGACUCAGAUUGUACACAUACGGUAACACAGACUCGGGCAGGGCAUUCCACUCUUUGGCAGUUCGCAUAAGGAAUGUUGAAGCAGUAGCAGCUUCGUGCGUAUUUGUGGAAUACCUGAAGCGAUGCCGGAGUGCCGAUUGUCUGGUAGUCCGAUGGUGAAAUGGGGACGGAGGAAUAAGGUUGUGCAGUUCCUCGGCACACUAAACAUAUUUAAAACCGGGGCCUCUCCGGGUAUGUUUGCUAAUUCAAGCCAGUCUUCGAGCAACACCGGCUUCCGACACGUCGUAAGGGAGGAGCCUAAGCGAUAUCUUACCGUAAAAAUCUUUCUGCCAUUUUUUGCGGGGGGAAACGUGCACACAGUCGCACUUCUCACUCACUACAUACAAAAUCCAAUCUGUAAUGAAGACACAAAUACAUAGAAAAUGACACACGUCAAAGACAAAUCUCGCACACCUUGAUCUCUUUUUGUGUACGGACGAGUCACAAUAUGCACCGCCAUGGGCACAGUUGUGCCAAUGCUUUGGCAGAGGGGAAAUAGUAUGAAUGCCGUCUCCCUUCCCUGUGUUGCUCGAAUAGAAUAAGAAUAAGAAUAUUUUUUUUGCUUUAAACAUUACCAUACAUAACAUGCAUGCAUCAUUACAUAGGUGUUACAAAAGGCGGUAGGUUUCUAUGUUUAACCAUAGCUGGUAUGCAAAUAUACACAAAAACUUGAAGCUAUAAUAAUUAAAAAUAAAAUAUGUACAAUGUUAAUAAAUUACAAGUGUUUGCCCAUUAUUAUUUACAAUUAAGUUAAUGUCUUACACAAUUAUUCACAUAAAUUAUAAUACUUACAAUAUUGUAAGGUUCUUUAUAAAGAUAAGUACUAUGUAUAACCGAUUAAUACUAAUGCUGUAGUGUAUUUUUGUAUCCUUUUGGGUGUAAUUCGAUAUUGUUGUGGCAAUUCUAUGUCAAUCUGGGUAAUGUCAUUUUGAUAUGGCAACUCAAUAGUUUUUUUUUUAAUGACGAUGGUGACAUAUAAUUUGGAGGGAGACUUGACGUUUAUGAUUGAAUGAUUUUCCUGCUUAUUUUUAAUUGUAAUUCAUUAAUAAAUGGAAAUAACUACUAAAAGUGAUUUAACUUGAAGAAAUAAGACUAGACCCUACAAUAGGGACCGUGCGCGUUGGAGGGUCUGCCAUCUUGUGGUCUGAAUCGGAACCAUAAACAGGCACAUUUACACGUCAAGUGUUUUCUUGUGCAUAGUAGGUUCUGCCAUCUUGUGGGCUACAUCGGAACAAAAAACAUCACAUUUACGCCUCGCGCCAAAAAUCUGACGGCUCCUGUGCUGCCUCCUAUAGUUCAUGCACGCUCCCUAUAUAUUAUUUCAAGUCAAGGUAUUCGUUUAUGCUAUAGAAAUUAUUAUUAUUGAGCCAUUGAUAUAAUUUUACUUUAAACAUUUCAAUAUUCAUGUCCUUCAUGUCAGCAGGCAAUUUAUUGUAAAUUUCUAUAGUCAUAAUCAAGCAGCUUUUUUUAUGCUUUGCCAAUCUUGGAUGUGUAUCGGGGAUCAACCUAUCCGGGUUCCGGCAGGCGCGUGGAUGACUGUCACAGGCUUUCUUAAAUAUAUGUUUAUGUUUGUGAACAAACAUACACACUUCGUAAAUGUAUAAAGAAGGAAGUGGUAGUAAACCUAGUUUUUUUUAAUAGAAGAAUCGAAGAAGCCAGUAUAACGCGAUUAUGAAUAACACCAUUAAGGUGGUUCGAUUAGGUUACCCAAAGCUUAAACCUCACUAGAUGGCGCCACAAUUGCAAAUUUUGAGUUUUAAUUUUUUUGUGGAGUAGUCUUGGUAUUUCUAUACUGUAAAUUAUGUUUAGCGCACUCAUUAAAUAAAUAUUGAACUAUUACAACAAACA